UACGGAGGGUGCAAGCGUUGUUCGGAAUCACUGGGCGUAAAGGGCGUGUAGGCGGUCCGCUAAGUCUGAUGUGAAAGCCCGGGGCUCACCCCCGGAAGUGCAUUGGAAACUGGCGAACUCGAGUCCCGGAGAGGAGGGUGGAAUUCCUGGUGUAGCGGUGAAAUGCGCAGAUAUCAGGAGGAACACCAAUUGCGAAGGCAGCUCGCUGGGACGUAACUGACGCUGAGACGCGAAAGCGUGGGGAGCAAACAGG
rnacentral:rRNA from 1 species